rnacentral:lncRNA from 1 species
CAGGGGAGCCCACCAUGCUUCUUUGGACCAGAGUUCCCCUCCCCAGAGUGGCCCCCCUGGGACGCCUCCCUCCUACAAACUGCCUUUGCUUGGGCCCUAUGACAGCCGCGAUGACUUCCCCCUCCGCAAAACAGGUGAGCAGUGCCCAACCUGGCCUCCCAGAGUAUGGCUCCUUGGAGGUAGGGGUGGGAGUGUGAAGGGGCCAGGCUGCAGGCGUGUGCGCAUCCGUGUAGCUGUAUCUGAGCCCUGCCUACCUUCUCCCUAGCCUCUGAACCCAACUUGAAAGUGCGUUCGAGGCUAAAGCAGAAGGUGGCUGAGCGGAGAAGCAGUCCCCUCCUGCGUCGCAAGGAUGGGACAGUCAUUAGCACCUUUAAGAAGAGAGCGGUUGAGAUCACUGGUGCUGGGCCUGGAGGUAAGGGCUCCUCUUUUGUUCCUGUUCUGAGGUCCUGGGAGUGGGGGGUGGCUCUGAGCAAGCCCAGGUGACAGCCAGUUCUCCCAUAGUGUCGUCCGUGUGUAACAGCGCACCAGGCUCCGGCCCCAGCUCUCCCAACAGCUCCCACAGCACCAUUGCUGAGAAUGGCUUU